rnacentral:tRNA from 1 species
GCCCCUAUAGCUCAGUGGUUAGAGCGUACGCUUAGUAAGCGUAAGGUCGAGUGUUCAAUCCACUCUGGGGGCU